UACGUAGGGUGCAAGCGUUAAUCGGAAUUACUGGGCGUAAAGCGUGCGCAGGCGGUUUUGUAAGUCUGUCGUGAAAGCCCCGGGCUCAACCUGGGAACAGCGCUUGAGACUGGCACGCUCGAGUUCGGGAGAGGAUGGUGGAAUUCCCAGUGUAGAGGUGAAAUUCGUAGAUAUUGGGAAGAACACCGAUGGCGAAGGCAGCCAUCUGGACCGACACUGACGCUGAGGCGCGAAAGCGUGGGGAGC
rnacentral:rRNA from 1 species